rnacentral:lncRNA from 1 species
GGCCUCUACCCUUUAGAUGUCCACCCCAGAGUGGCAACCAAAGAUGUACCAUGGAGAACAGAAUUGUCUCCAGUUGAGGGCCGCUGCAGGAGAGAUUGAUUGAACCUAAGAAGGAAAAGAGAAUAAUGAAGAUGAGGAAUACAGAGCCACUGUUCUUGCAUUUAUUGUACAGUCCAGUGUUUCUGAGUCCUUCAGGAGGGUGAGGAGAGCCCGCAGGCUGCUGUGCACCUCUGCAACUUGCUUGUCCCAGGGUCGCAGCAAGUGGGGUGCAGAACACCACAGACUGCUUUGAGCAGAGCCCACUUCCUUCAUCCCGGAGAGCGUGAAGCCGUUACACCAACAUCAAUCAAGGGGAACCCACGGGCUGCACUCACACCGUUGAAGCAGGCGCUGAGCUGCGCUGUUUUGUUUCUUUCUCUUUUUAAAAUUCUUCUUCUUUUUCUUCUUCUUUUUUUUUUUAAAAAUUCUGAAGCCAGACCGUCUUGCCUCGCAGCACCAGGUGCUGCUUCGCCGUGGGCACGCCGAGCUCCCCCGGUUACCUGCGGCAUCUCCUGCCUGGGCUUCGCCAUGGUGCACCGGACCUGGACUCGCGAGUCUGCACGCUGCGCAAGGAGGACCUGCUGCUGGAGCUCUGGCCAGCGUCUCCUCGCACCUGGAUGCGGGGACUUGGGGGCCAGGGCGAAGCUGCGCAAGACUCAGGGUGGGAUGGCUAGGGAGGACGCAGAGGACCAGGAGGGGGAAGUUAGGAAUCCUACAUAA